UCUUAAAUAGUCUAGCCGGUUAGAAUACGUGGCUUCCACCCACGCGACCCGGGUUCGAGUCCCGGUUUGGGAA
rnacentral:tRNA from 1 species